AGGUGUUGUGGGACUACAACUCCCAUCAUUCCUAGCUAGCACGGCUGGUCAGGGAUGGUGGGAGUUGUAGGUCAAGAACAUCU